rnacentral:rRNA from 1 species
GAUGAACGCUGGCGGCGUGCCUAAUACAUGCAAGUCGAGCGAACGGACGAGAAGCUUGCUUUUCUGAUGUUAGCGGCGGACGGGUGAGUAACACGUGGAUAACCUACCUAUAAGACUGGGAUAACUUCGGGAAACCGGAGCUAAUACCGGAUAAUAUUUUGAACCGCAUGGUUCAAUAGUGAAAGACGGUCUUGCUGUCACUUAUAGAUGGAUCCGCGCUGCAUUAGCUAGUUGGUAAGGUAACGGCUUACCAAGGCAACGAUGCAUAGCCGACCUGAGAGGGUGAUCGGCCACACUGGAACUGAGACACGGUCCAGACUCCUACGGGAGGCAGCAGUAGGGAAUCUUCCGCAAUGGGCGAAAGCCUGACGGAGCAACGCCGCGUGAGUGAUGAAGGUCUUCGGAUCGUAAAACUCUGUUAUUAGGGAAGAACAAAUGUGUAAGUAACUGUGCACAUCUUGACGGUACCUAAUCAGAAAGCCACGGCUAACUACGUG